UACGGGGGGAGCAAGCGUUGUUCGGAUUUACUGGGCGUAAAGGGCGCGUAGGCGGCCACCGCAAGUCGACUGUGAAAUCUCCGGGCUUAACCCGGAAAGGUCAGCCGAUACUGCGGGGCUAGAGUGCAGAAGGGGCAACUGGAAUUCUCGGUGUAGCGGUGAAAUGCGUAGAUAUCGGGAGGAACACCAGUAGCGAAGGCGGCACUCUGGGCCGGUACUGACGCUGAGGAGCGAAAGCGUGGGGAGCGAACGAG
rnacentral:rRNA from 1 species